rnacentral:rRNA from 1 species
UACGGAGGGGGCGAGCGUUAUUCGGAAUUAUUGGGCGUAAAGGGCGCGUAGGCGGCUUGACAAGUCAAAGGUGAAAUCCCUCGGCUCAACUGAGGAACUGCCUUUGAAACUGUCUGGCUAGAGUCCGGAAGAGGCGAGUGGAACUCCUGGUGUAGCGGUGGAAUGCGCAGAUAUCAGGAAGAACACCAACGGCGAAGGCAGCUCGCUGGGACGGAACUGACGCUAAGGCGCGAAAGCGUGGGGAGCAAACAGG